GUAGCUGUGCCUGCAUCUCGGAAAGGGGGACGAUCGCCUAAACGGUUUUAACCCCUUGUGUGCUGAAACGGUGCCGUUACAAUAUCUAUAUAUAUUUUAAUUGGGGUAGCCCCCAAAAUAUUGGGACAUAUAAAAAAAAAACAACUCUGUUCCGCAGAGUAGCUGUUGACAUUAUAGUUGCGCAGGCACUUCGUUGACUCAAGAGAACCUCGGGCCAAUCGCACAUCCCCAUGACGGCGACUUUGCAUUCGGAUGUUAUCCAUAUCAACUUUCGAUGCCAGUUUCUGCGCCUACCAUGGUGACCACAGGUAACGGGGAAUCAGGGUUCCAUUCCAUACAGGGACCCUGAGAAACGGCUACCACAUGCAAGGAAGGCAGCAGGCGCGCAAAUGACCCACUCCCGACGCAGGAAGGUAGUGAC